rnacentral:rRNA from 1 species
AUUGAACGCUGGCGGCAUGCCUUACACAUGCAAGUCGAACGGCAGCGGGCCUUCGGGUGCCGGCGAGUGGCGAACGGGUGAGUAAUGCAUCGGAACGUGCCAUUGAGUGGGGGAUAACGUAGCGAAAGUUGCGCUAAUACCGCAUAUUCUGUGAGCAGGAAAGCAGGGGGACCGCAAGGCCUUGCGCUCUUUGAGCGGCCGAUGUCAGAUUAGCUAGUUGGUGAGGUAAAGGCUUACCAAGGCGACGAUCUGUAGCGGGUCUGAGAGGAUGAUCCGCCACACUGGAACUGAGACACGGUCCAGACUCCUACGGGAGGCAGCAGUGGGGAAUUUUGGACAAUGGGGGCGAACCCUGAUCCAGCCAUGCCGCGUGAGUGAAGAAGGCC